GCAGAGGUUGCAGUGAGCUGAAAUUGUGCCAUUGCACUCCAGCCUGGGCAACAAGAGCAAAACUCUGUCUCAAAAAAAAAAAAAAAAAAAAAUUCCCAAUAGAUUUUAAUCUAAUUUUAUUAGAACAAUUCAGUCAUAUGUUUUUUCAUGCUAUGUAUAUGAGAGUUCCAUUAUUCAGAUACUAAACAAAUGUCUACUGUACAUUUACUUUUCUCACUGAUGAUGCAUUAGAUAACCAUGCACAAAAUAAGCCUGGCUGUGGAAAUGCUUAUUUGUUGGGAGGGUGCUUGUCUGGAUCGAUGAUGAGAAUAAUUGUCUGAGGAUGCUGAGGGACUCAUUCCAGAUGUCAAUCUGAGGUCCAGAUGUGCGGCCCUCCAGUAGGACAAAUAAGACUCUCAGAGCCUGGCUGUCUUUGGGGAUCCGUCAGUGACAACAUAGUACCUCUGUGAGCAUGCUUUUUCUAUCUCUCUGAAAAGGGCAUUAGCAUCCUGUCUUAUGAGUCAGUAUGCACUUUAGUAUGCUUAGUGACCCAAGACUCACUUUAUUUUGUUCAUUUUGAGCAGAGAAUUGUAGAUAGAUACAUAUAUAGGAAAUAUGUUGUUGAUUAACAAAUGAAAAAAUGAAAAAGUUUCAGUCAAGAAAGGUCAAGCAACUGUGAUGUAUAGUGAAGGAAGGGAACACUGCAUGCCUAUAUUAAAUAUUGACAAAGGAACCAAUUUUAGUGCUUUGUUAUUUUUACUGUUGAGUAUUUUCUGAGACCAUUUCUUUUUCUUCCAUUUUGUUUUGCUGAGGUAGAGGAGGGCUGGAAUGAGGUCCUCCACUUCAGAAAAUAGGGGUGAGUAGUUAAACCAACAUCCUUUGGAAUUCAUAUACAUCAUGUGUACCAUGCCACAUCCUGAGGUCUUUUUGUUGAUUUUUUUAGUGGCUUACUGGAUAAUAUCUAAAUAAUGUAUAUUUUACUUUGGUGAGUCUCUCCACCUUCAUUUCUGAAUCAUUGUCCUUUACAUUUUUAUUCUAUUUGAAUUUUGCAUGAAAUGACAAAUGUAGAAUUUUGCCCAAUUUAUUUUAUUUAUUCAUUUAUUUAUUUGGGAAGACAAAGUCUCUCUCUGUCACCCAGGCUGGAGUACAGUGGCCCAGUCAUAGCUCACUUCAGCUCUUCACUCUAUAGCCCUUAACUCCUGGGCUCAAGUGAUCCUCCACCCUCAGCCUCCCAAGUAUCUAGGAAUACAGUUGUCAUGGGAGGCCAGCCGCCUGCUGGCAAGGAAGAUGGUUGAUUCUUCUGAGCAAUGGAGGCCCUGCAGAGCCCUGUAGUCGCUGUGGCCUGGCAUCCAUGGUUCACCCAAUGCUGGUGGAUGGCUCAGGACGAGGCAGUUGCUGUGGGAGGUGUGGUAACUGCUGGAAGGAAGAUGCUCGAUUCUUCUGAGCAACGAAGGCCACACGGAGUCCUGGAUUCGGUGUGGCCUGGCAUCCACGGUGCACUGUGUGCUGGCGAGUGGCUCAGGACGGGGCAGUUAUCAUGGGACACCCGCCAUAUGCUGGCAAGGAAGAUGGUCAGUUCUUCUGAGCCGCAAAGGCCCCCAACGUCCUGGAGUUGGUGUGGCCUAGCAUCCACGGUGCGCCCCCUGCUGGUGGAUGGCUCAGGAUGGGGCAGUUGCCGUCGGAGGCCCGCUGCCUGCUGGAAGGAAGAUGGUCACUUCUUCCGAACCACAAAGGCCCUGCAGAGUCCUGGAGUCGGUGUGGCCUGGCUUCCAGGGUUCACCUCGUGCUGGUGGUCACUCAGGAUGAGUGCCGAAGGUCUUUAAGGUCGUCAGCUUACCCACUGCCCAGCCUGUGGUGUCACAUGUCCUGCCUCUUCAAAUGUGUUUGGAUCGAUGAUGAGUCCCCCCAAAAAAACAUUCCUUGGAAAAGCUGAACAAAAUGAGUGAAAACUCAUACCGUCAUUCUCAUCGGAACUGAGGUCCAGCACGUUGCCUCCAGCAGGGACUGUUGGAGUGAAGGACAGUUUCCACUAGUCCCUAUAGGUUCCACCACCCAGGGCGUCCGCAGGCUGUUGCCGUCGGAGGUCCGCUGCCUGCUGUCAAGGAAGAUGGUCGAGGCUUCUGAGAAGCAGGCCCUGCGGGUUUCUGGAUUUGGUGUGGCCUGGCAUCCAUGGUGCAUCCCGUGCUGGCGGGUGGCCCAGGACGGGGCAGUUGCCUUGAGAGGCCCAUGGCCUGCUGGCAUGGCAGAUGGUCAGUUCUUCCGAGCAAUGGAAUCUCCAUGGAGUUGUGGAGUCGGUGUGGCCUCACAUCCACGGUGCACCCCGUGCUAGUGGAUGGCUCAGGACGGGGCAGUUGCUGUGGGAGGCCUGCCGCCAGCUGAAAGGAAGAUGGUUGAUGCUUCUGAGCAAUGAAGGCCCCGUGGAGUCCUGGAUUCGGUGUGGCCUGGCGUCCGUGGUGCACCCCAUGCUGCUGGAUGGCUCAGGACGGGGCAGUUGCCAUGGGAGGCGCAGGCCUGCUGGAAGGAAGAUGGUCGAUUCUCCCGAGCAACAAAGGCCACGCAGAGUCCUGGUUUUGGUGUGGCCUGGUAUCCAUAGUGCACCCCGUGCUGGUGGGUGGCUCAGGACGCACACUCAUUUCCUCUGCACCUUCCUGAUGUCAUUGGCAUGGAAGGAAGGCCCUUGUCCAAGAAGGAUGGUCUUCGUCUUGUGUGAUCUUUGAGAUGCCAUGAGGCCCCUGGAUACAAAUGGUGUGGGCUCCUUUGGAGGCUUUUGGAUUUCUCCUGAAUGUGGCGUUGGUAUGCAAGGAAGGCCAGUGACCACAAGGGAUGAUUUUGAUCUUGGGAGAUUUUUGGAGAUGGCAAAGUGCUUCUAAACAUGUGUGGCAUGGUCUCCUUCAGGCCGGUGGAUACCUCAGGAUGGUGGCGUUGGCAUGGAAGGAAGGACUGUGUCUGUGAGGGAUGAUCAUCCUCUCAUGUGAUCCUUGGAGAUGCCAGGAAGCCCCUUGACACAUGUGGCAUGGGCUCCUUCAGAGGCUUUUGGAUCCUUCGUGAGUGUGGUAUGGGCAUGCAAAGAAAGACAGAGGCUGCAAGGGAUGAACUUCAUCUUGGGAGAUCCCUGGAGAUGGCAGGGAACCCAUGGACACAUGUGGCAUGGGCUCCUUCGGGUGCCGGUGGAUCCCUUCAUAUGGUAAAGCCAGAGUUGGGUAUCAACCAGAUACCCUGCAGGAGACCAGAGGACAUGGCCUUUGUGUACUGCACAUCUGUCAGAUUUUCUCAAGCACACCCGUGUUUCCUCUUCACCUCCCAGGUGGAAGUGAUGAAUUGGCCAGGCCCACGUUGGUGAGGGACAAUCAUCAUCUCAUGUUAACCUCAGAGAUGCCAGGAAGCUCCUGGACACACAUGGUGUAGGCUUCCUUGGAGGCUGUUGGAUCCAUCCUGAAUGUAGUGUUCGUGUAAAAGGCAAACCUGUGUCAUGAGAGAUGAUCAUCAUCUCGUGUGAUCCUUGGAGAUGGCAGGAAGCCCUGGACAUAGACGGUAUGGGCUCCCCCAGAGGCUGUUGGAAUCCUCCUGGAUGUGGUGUGGGCAUGGAAGGAAGGCCAGUGGAGACAAUGGAUGAUCUUGUUCUUAGCAGAUCACUGGAUGUGGCAGGGAGUCCUAGGACAUGUGUGGUGUGGGCUUCUUCAGGUGCUGGUGGCCUGGGCAUAGAAGGAAGGUCAGUGGCCAUGAGGGACAAUCUUGGUCUUGGGAGAUCCCUGGAAAUGAUAGGGAGUCCCUUGAUAUGUGUGGCAUGGGCUCCUUCAGGUGCUAGUGGAUUCCUUAGGAUGGUGGUGUUGGCAUAAAAGGCAGACUCGUAUCAUGAGGAAUGAUUGUCAUCUUGUAUGAUUCUUGGAGAUGGCAGGAAGCCCCUGGAAACACAUGAUGUGGACUCUGUCAUAGGCUGUUGAAACCCUCCCGAAGGUAAGUGAUUUCAUUCCAAAGCACCCUGAGUUUCCUCAUUUGCAGGGAUGAAACCUGUGCGUGGAUCGAUGAUGACUUCCAUGUAUACAUUCCUUGGAAAGCUGAACAAAAUGAGUGAAAACUCUAUACCGUCAUCCUCGUCGAACUGAGGUCCAGCACAUUACUCCAACAGGGGCUAGACAGAGAGGGUCAACAUCCGUUUGUUGACAUGGGUUAUACCAAGGCGUCUGUUCAGGCUUAGGAUGGGGUCUUUUAUGGGUGAUGGGGGUCACAGGAGAGUGGUGGCUCCCACGUAUAGGAAAUUUCUUGUUUGAAGGACUGUCAGUGAGGGUGGGUAACACAUGCAUUGUCUGCAGGACUAGGUGAGUGUCCAUGUGGCCUAACAAGAGUUAGCUGGUAGCCCGCCUCUGGUUGCCAAUUUGUUUUUGAGUCUUUGUUCUGGGUUCUUAGGUCCCACGGAGGAAAACAGAUCUGUGUGGUUGGGAGGUGGGUACAAGGCCACAUCUUUGUCAUUUGUUGGCUAACUUUGUCCUUGGUUGAGGACAUUAGAGUUUUGGUCACCAGGCAUAGCCUAUGUGCCUUUGUGCCUGUGAUGUAUCCCAUGUGUUUUGAGGACAUGUAUUUUGCACUUACAGGUGAGCUCCUGCUCCAAGCUGGUUCUGAUACCAAAGGAGUCCCUGGCUUAUCCUAAACCCGAUGUAGGUUAAAGCCUUCCUCCUUAGGGGUUCAGGGCCGCAAGGCUUUUGUGAGUGGCAUUGCAGGCGUUGAAGCAGUGGUGUUGAGAGGGAUGGUCAGUGUCAGUGCUCUUUGGCAGGAUGGUGUACUGCAGGGGCCCCCAGCCCCGAGACGAGCAUCCCUGCAUCCAUGCUUUUCUGCGUCCAUGAACAGGGGAGGCCAGAGACAGGCAGAUAGUAGAUAUAUUGCAGGGGACUGGAUGACAUGGCCCUCAUGACCUGCGCACCUGUCUGCCUUUCUGAAGCACACCUGUGUUUCCUCUGCACCUCCCAGGUAGCAUUGGCAUGGAGGGCAGGCCCAUAUUGGCGAGGGACAAUUGUUACCUCGUGUGAGCCAUGGAGACACCAGGAAGCCCCUGGACACAAAUGGCAAAGGCUCCUUUGGAAGUUGUUGGAUCCCUUCUGAAUGUAAGCACUUCUUUCCCAGAGCACUCUGAUUUUCCUCAUUUGCAGGGACGAACAGUGUGCAUGGAUCGAUGAUGACUUCCAUAUAUACAUUCCUUGGAAAGCUGAACAAAAUGAGUGAAAACUCUAUACCGUCAUCCUCGUCGAACUGAGGUCCAGCACAUUACUCCAACAGGGGCUAGACAGAGAGGGCCAACAUCCGUUUGUUGACAUGGGUUAUACCAAGGCGUCUGUUCAGGCUUAGGAUGGGGUCUUUUAUGGGUAAUGGGGGUCACAGGAGAGUGGUGGCUCCCAUGUAUAGGAAAUUUCUUAUUUGAAGGACUUUGUCAGUGAGGAUGGGUAACACAUGCAUUGUCUGCAGGACUAGGUGAAUGUCCAUGUGGCCUAGCAAGAGUUAGCUGGUAGCCCGCCUCUGGUUGCCAAUUUGUUCUUGAGUCCUCAUUCUGGUUUCCUAGGUCCCCCGGAAGGAAACAGAUCUAUCUGGUUGGGAGGAGAAUACAAGGCCACAUCUUUGUCAUUUGUUGGCUUUGUCCUUGGUUGAGGACAUUAGAGUUUUGGUCACCAGGCAUAGCCUAUGUGCCUGUGUGCCCAUGUUGUAUCCCAUGUGUUUGAGGGACAUGUACAUUGCAUGAACAAGUGAGCUCCUGCUCAUUGGUUCUGAUACCCAAGGAGUCCCUGGCUUAUCCUAAACCCAAUAUAGGUUAAAGCCUUUCUCAUUAGGGGCCCAGGGUCCCAAGGCUUUUGUGAGCAUCAUUGUAGGUAUUGAACCAACGAUGUUGAGAAGGAUGCUAAACAUGCUCUUUAGUGGGAUGAUGUACUCUGAAGGCUCCUGACUCCCAGACGAGCAUCCUUGUGUCCAUGCAUUUCUGUGUUUAUGAACAGGUGAGGCCAGAGACAGGCAGACAGCAGGGAGCUGGAUGACAUGGCCUUUGGAACCUGUGCGCAUGCCUGCCUUUCUGAUGCACGUCCAUGUUUUCUCUGCACCUCCCUGGUGGUGUUGGUAUAAAAAGCAGGCUCACAUCAGCAAGGGAUGAUUGUCAUCUCAUGCGAUCCUGGGAGAUGGCAGAAGUCCCGGGACACAUGGAGUGUGGGCUCUUUCGGAGGCUGUUGGAUCCCUCCUGAAUGUAUUGUGGCCAUGGAAGUAAGGCCAGUGGCUACGAGGGACAGUCUUCAUCUUGGGAGAUCCCUAGAGAGGGCAGGGAGCCCCUUGACAUGUGGAAUGUGGUUUCCGUUGGGUGCUGGUGGAUCCCACAGGUGGUGUGGCAUGGAAGAAGGCCAGAGGCUGCGAUGGAUCAUCUUUGUCUUGGGAGAUUCCUGGAGAUGGUGGGGAGCCCCUGGGCACGUGCAGCACAUGUGGUGUGGGCUUCUUCAGGUGCUGGUGGAUCCCUCAGGAUGCUUUUCAAGGUUUUUCUGUGAGUUCUGUUAAAGAGUCUGAAAACGGAGCGUAGAAGACAAGCUUCGAUUUCCAGGAUGGUUGUGUUUUCCAGGGAGGCGAAGGUAAACCAUUGGCGCAGCCCUGCCUCCCACAGGUAAUUCCGGGUGCAGUGUUUCAUAUCUAGAUUAGGACUUCUAUCCUACCAUACUUCUUUGUGGGCAGUUCAUCGUGGAACCAGCACAGAUUUUCAUAUGAAAGUUAUAUUUUUUUUUAACCUCAAAAAGUGACAGAAUGGAGUGUAUCAUGAAAAAGUCUGACAUCAAAACCUCAAAAUGUGAUAUUGAUUGGGUGAGAUAGAAUUCCAUGGAAUUUCAUUGCCAAACCAGUGAAGUGCUAAUUUUGACAUUUGUACCAGCUAACGUAGCUGUGAAGAAACACACCAAUACGCUUCUAAGGACAACAUAGACCAAGAUCUAGGUUUCAUAUGGAUGAAUUUAUUCUUCCCUUCGAGGCAAGACAAGAAGGAAAGAAAGUAUUGGGAAUAAUGCUGCCCUCCCAUCCUCAAGGGCCAGUGGGAACUCUAAUAUUGGUAAGCCUUUUGUCCUGGGAAUACCAGCAUUUCCUCUUAGGGAAUCAUAACACUCUGGUAACCGUGAGACUCUGGCUAUGCUAGUCUGCCAUGGGCUGGUCAAUGACUGUGAUCCUGGUCUCCAUGAUUGAAUAGUGUGGGUCAGUGUGUCCCAGAGUGACAGAUGUGCUCAGUGUCUGCCACAUAUCUCAGACUCAAGGUCCCGUUUAUAAAUGUGCCUGGAUCGAUGAUGACUAUAAAAAAAUGGAUCUCAUCGGAAUCUGAACAAAAUGAGUGACCAAAUCAUUUCUGUGCCACUUCUGUGAGCUGAGGUCCAGCACUGGGACCAUACCAGGCAAACAUGAGGAGGGAGUUUACAGGGACUAGGGUAUUGGAAAACUAACCUACCCAUAUAUAUUAGAGCAAAUGAAUUGUUCUCAGGUCUGUAAAUAUCUAGCUGUGGUUUGACAUAGCAACUCUCUUUGUACUUGCUUGGCAGCAUUUAUAGAAACAGCUGGUAGACCCUGGGGAACCAGGACAUAGUGAGAUUCAUGGGACGUUAUUGCACCUACUCUUGAGCCGUUCACACAUUUGAGCUCGCAGAAUUUUCUGGUCUCUUGAGGGUAAUGAGAUGGUCAACAUCCAAAUGAGUCUCUUGAGGGUAAUGAGAUGGUCAACAUCCAAAUCCAAAGAUACUAAUGAGAUUUCACUUUUUUUUUUUGAGAUGGAGUCUCAUUCUGUUGCCCAGGCAGGAGUGCAGUGGCAUAAUCUCGGCUCACUGCAACCUCCACCUCCUGGAUUCAAGAGAUUCUCCCACCUCAGCAUCCUGAGUAGCUGGGAUUACAGACGUCCGCCACCACGCCUGGCUAAUUUUUGUAUUUGUAGUAGAGAUGGAGUUUCACCAUAUUGGCCAAGCUGGUCUCGAACUCCCAACCUCAGGUGAUCCACCCACCGCAGCCUUCCAAAGUGUUGGGAUUACAGGCGUGAGCCACUGUGCCCGGCCUUAUUUUUUAUUUUCAAUUAAGUGAAACAAUUACAUGGAAAUUGGAAAAAAAAAAAAAAAAAAGGUACUCUAAGAAGACUACUCUAGUGUAUUUUAAUUUUCUUGCCAAUUCAGCCACUAGGAUUGUGUCAUUUGUUUUUUUAAUUUUAGUUUUUCGUAUCAAAAAGCAAACCACUGUUUAUAUUUGAGUGCUGGUUUCAACUGUAUGCUGCCUCAAAUAAACUUAGAUUAUAUUAUAAAUUCUUUUUUACAUAGAUUUCAUUGGCUAUAUUCGUAUAUCCUCAAAGGUUCCCAUUGUGUUUGAAGAGAUAUCCUAAUUGUAAUAAAUGCUUUUGAUUGGUGAUGCCAGGGAAGCUUUGAGACUAAUGUCUCAGAUUUUUUUUAAAAAAAGUUUAUAUUCUGUAGUGAUCAAAGAUGUAAGAAUAAUUUUUCUUGUCAUUCACUGGAUAGUCCAGUAAGUGUCUAGUGUGAAUUCUUAUAUUCACUUGUAACUAAACAUUCCAUUUGGCAAAUUUUGUUUCAUAACUUCCCUAAUUUCCUCUACACUUUGUAGAUUGGGUGAGAUACAAUUCCAUGGAGUUUUACUGCUGAACCAGUGAGGGGCUAAUUUUGUCAUUUGUACCAGUUAACUAAUUUGGGAGGAAACAGAACAACACACUCCUGAGGUAGUAUGCAAUUUUUAGUAAAUUUAUUUUUAUUAUUUUUAAAACUGUCAGUGAUUUGGUUUGGUGAACAAUUGGUUAAUACAGACAAUGUUAGGAAUUAUUAAUCGGAUGCUCAGUUUCCUUUAUUUUUAAGAUUUUUUUCUUCUCUGUACUUUGGAUAACAUUUAAAACAUUUCUAAGAAUUAUAGAUUAGUAUAUGUUCUAUGCUGAUAAAUAAUGAAACCUUUUGUCUUAUACAAAUUUUUAAAAAAUGGAGGUGUGUGUGCAUGUGUAUAUAUAUAAAUAUAUAUGUAUAUAUAUAUAUAUAUAUAUAAAAUCUCUUCUCAUAAGAUGAUGCAGACUAAAACUACAUUUUACAUUUUGUAUGCCUAAGUUUAUUGUUUCCUUGUGUCGUAAUAUGAUGGAAAGUAAUGGGAAUAAUUCUGCUUCCUGUCCUUAGGGACCAGUAGGAAUUUUCCCAUGAUAAGCAUUUUGUCCUUAAAAUACUGACAUCAUGUUAAGAGAUCAUGACACGCCAAUGACCAUGAGACCCUGCCUAUGCUAGUCAGCCAGGGGGCUGACCAUUGAUAGUGAUGCUGGUCUCCAUGAUUAAAUAGUGUGGGUCAGCAUGUCCCAGGGUGACAGAGAGCUGUGAUCAGUGUCUGUCACAUAUCUCAGACUCAAGGUUCCUUUUAAAAAUGUGCCUGGAUCGAUGAUGACUUAAAGAUUGAUCUAAUUUAAAUCUGAACAAAAUGAGUGACCAAAACACUUCUGUACCACUUCUGUGAGCUGAGGUCCAGCACAGAGACCACUCCAGUCAAACAUGUGUUGCCUGGCGUUGCAACUAGUUGGUCAGUUAAAAGCAACCACAGGGACUGGGGUUAAAAGCAACCACAGGGACUGGGGUAUUUGAAAACCACUUGAGUGCGUUUAUUAGAGGAAAUGAAUUUUACAUUUGUGUAUAAAAAUUCAAUUGUAGGGUAAAAUGGAAACUCUGAGAGUUUGGUUGGCAGCGUCUAUAUACCAUAGAAACAGAGCCUGGGAAGCAGAACAGUGAGACCCAAGAGAAAUGUUCCUGCCUAUACUUGGUCUGUUCUCACAUUUGCCUGAACUACUGAUUGACCUUUUGAGGGUGAUGAGAUGGUCAAAAUCCAAGGAUAUGAUGAGUUUUUACUUCUCAUUUUCUUUUUUUUUUAUUGUUAUACUUUAAGUUUUGGAGUACAUGUGCAGAACGUGCAGUUUUGUUACAUUGGUAUACACGUGCCAUGGUGGUUUGCUGCACCCAUCAACCCAUCAUCUACAUUAGAUUGGUUGUCACGGAAUUCCAUGGAAUUUAACUGCUGAACCAAUGAUGCGCUGAUUUUGUCAUUUGUACCAUCUAACUCAUCUGGGAGGCAACAAAACAAUAUUCUCCUGAGGUUAAUGUGGACCAAGAACUAGAUUUCAUGUAAAAGAGUUUAUUCCUUCUACUUAAGGUGUGACAUGAAGGAAAGUAAUGGAAAUAAUUCUGCCCUCCCAUUCUCAAGGGCCAGGGGGAAUUCUAAUAUUGAACGGAAGUGAUUUUGGAAUUGCAUGGAAUUCUCACUGCCAUCCCAAAGAAAUGCUCAUCUUGUCACUCUUACCUGUUCCAUUCCCCGGGACAGAACAAAAGGAUUCACUCCAAAGAUUGGCAUGAACCAAGAACUGGGUUUCAUAUAAAAUAUUUUAUUCUGUCCUCUUGAGAUGUGACAUGAAGAAAAGUAUUGAGAAUACUUCUAUCACCUCAUCUUCAAGAAUCCAUAGGAAUUCUCCCACGGUGGACGUUACGGUUCACCUGAACAGGUCUUGGAAAAAGGACUUUAAACAUUCUCCUGUUCUGUGGAAUAAGUAUACUUUUUUUCUGGACAUACACCUUGUCAGUGAGUUCCAUGUGAUACUAGAGUUGCAUAGAUUUUUAACCUUUACACCAAUGAAGAUCUGAGGCAAACAUUGCCCCUUUUUUAGAAGUUUGCAUUUGUCACUGAUAACUGUAAUAAUUGAUCUUGUUGAAAAGCCUGGGAAAUGAAGAUCUGAUAUGUCACUUUUACCAGCUUCCUCAACUGAAAAAGAAUACAACGAAACACGCCGAGAAUUUUUGUGCUUUCUCAGUCUUGCUGAUGAUCUUUCUAUGGGCAUGAAGCGUGGAGAGUGCCAGAGAGGCUGAUCCUCAGCAGUGUGGCAGAGGAAAUUUGGGUGCAACCAAGGGGUAUGCGGUGCCCAAAUGCCACUGGGUCCUCAGCAGUACCACCUGAUUGGAAGUGAUAUUGGUGGAAGACAACAUUUUGCCGCUUGGAAUUCUCACCUCCACACCAAAGAAGUACUGUUUUUGUCAUUUGCACGAGCUUCUUUCUCCAGGAAAGAUCAAAAUGAUGCACUGCAAGUGUGGUUGGUCCAGAUAGCUGCCUUAUCCAACUGCCUCCUUUGGACCACUUCAUCAUGGGACAGCUUGAUGCAAUCUACUUGACAAGCCCCUGGAACCCCACACCCCUCAUGGAGCCAGUGUCCACCUCCUAGUCACAGUGUGACCCCAGGGAACUCAUGCCUGCUUGCUUUAAACCCACCACUUAAAAGUCUCCACAGAAAACCUGUUUGAAUAGUACCCUUGACCCAAUAAGGGCAUUGGCCCAUGGGUGUCUCUCUCUCUCUCUCCCCCUCUCUCUCUCUCGCUCCCUGACCUCUGCGUGUGGACUCCAGGCAUGCCAUAUACCCCUCAGGACCUGAAGCAAGAGAAUGAAUUAAAGAAAACUCCAGAGAAUGAGCUGACAACUUACUCCCUAGUCAGUGGCUCUCCAUGCCUACCUGUGGUCUCUUGGACACCCUUGCAGAAUAUGACUUCCUGGGAACUCUUCUGGAAGUGAAUGUUGUCAGCAGAUUCCCAAAACAACACCCCUUAGACAAAAAGCCUCCUCACCUAUGCAUUGCCUAGGCCACCCACGAAAGGUGAUGGCCACAAAGAGGUGGAUUUGUUGAGUUGGUGCCAUUCCUUCUACUGCCAGCUUCACCAAAACAAUGACACAGUCUUCCUUCUGCAUGGAGACUCUUCUCUUUCCUGUGUUGCAGUGGAUGCCUCCUGCAGAUAAGAAAUGCUUAACUGAGAAAUGCUCAUGUUGGGAUAUCAUCGAUGAGACUUUAAUUUGGGCAUGGUGACUGUUUCCCUUGCUGCCACUUGACUCAAUCCCAGGAGGCUCAGUAGAGGAUAUAAUAUUACACAAGAUGCUCAAAAUGGUGGAAUUGCUCAGUGCUCCCAUAAAUAUACAUUUAUAAUUUUCAUUUGCCACAUGGUAAACUGAAAAAUACAGAAUAUAUUAAAAAGAAACUGCAUGAUUUUUUUUCAAAAAUUCAAAGCAUAUUUAAAUAAUAUAUAAAUUAAAUGCCCUCCUCUCUUCCAAUUCUGUCCCUAUAGUUUUCCUCUAUUAAGUGAACUACAUGCAUUCUUUUAGUGGAUAGAUACACACAAACCAUUGUGGGGAAGGAUCCACGUGUGUGGCCAUAUUGUAACACAUUUUUCUGCAAAUUACCUCUUUCAUUUAACAGCCCUUAUUCAAUGGCCUUUUUCUUUUUCAGUAAUACAUACACAUCUGUGUCAUUUGUUGAAUGACGACAUGAAUGUUUUGUAGAUGAAAUAUAAUUAAAUGUUUUAAGCAUUUCUCAGUCAUAGAUAUUUAUGUUAGCACCAAAUUUCUGUGCAAUGAACCUCCCUAUAUAUCAAUAAUUUUGCAUUUGUCUAUAAUAUCAUAAUAAAUUACUUAUCAGUUGAAUUACUAGGAUUAAGUAUGUGCACACUUUAUAUUUUGAAAAUUAUUGCAAGAUUGCCUUCAAAAAUGUGGUUAACAACUUUAUCCUCAAAUGGCAAUGAAUGAGAUUGCCAGCUUUCCUACAACCUCACAGACAAUGGAUUUUAUAAAUAUUUAACAUUUUUGCCAAUGUGAUCACCCAGACUAUUGUCUUAAAUUGUAUUUCUUUUGUUUUUGAGUUUCGUCAUUUUUUCAUGUUUAUUAGCCAUCUGUAUUUUUUAAUUUCUUCUUUAUGUCCAAUUUUAUGGGUGGGAGGAGGAUUUAGUCUCUUCCUGAUUUCGAAGAGCUCAUUUACUAUUUCGGAAAAUAAGAUUUGGAUUGUCAACCAUUAUAGCUAUUUUUUACACACUUUUCAACUUUGUUUUUGUUAUAAGAAUGUGUAUGAUUGUUAUAUGUCCAAGUAUAACCAUGUUCGCUUUUAUGGCUUCUGAGUUUCAUGUCAUUUUUGGAAAGAUAUAUAUACUGAGUCCAUAAAACCCUUCACCUGUGUUAAAUUCUAG
rnacentral:antisense_RNA from 1 species